UGUGGUUGGAGGUCUUCAACGCAAAGAGUAGAGGUGGUUCGGGGGAUGAGGGAUCAGCGCUUGGUGAACCUUGCACUACUCGAUAAGUGGUGUGGAAGGAUUGUUUAUAGAGGCUCGGGUUUAUGAAGGGAUAUUCUUAAUGCUUGGUAUGAGAACCAUAUGUUCGUCUGUGUCUGUGGUGGUGGGGGUUCCGGUCAGUUUCUUCUUGGUGGAAAUGGAUCUUGCUGCUUUGGUUUCGUCCAAAUCUUGUUGGUGGUUGGCUCUCAAAGGGAGUGACUAGGGUGAUAUGUAAUGGGUUUUCUAUAUUCUUUUAGAGUGUUUCGUGGAUGGGUGAGGUUUCCUUGAGAGUCUGUUUUUCGCACCCUUUUCCAGUUUUUUGGUUAGGAAUAUGGGAAAUUGGGUAGAGGAUGAGCUGGGGUAGAACUUAAGUUGGAGUAGAAGUUUGUUUGUUUGUUUGGGAGUAGGAGUUUGAUGACAACUUGGUCUCGGUUUUGGUGGGCAUUACGCUUUGGCAACAUGAGGAGUAUUUUUUAUCGUGGAAGCAUGACUUAAGUGAGGUUUAAACAAUUUAUUUAGCCUACUCAGCUCUUUAUGUAGAGGGAACUCGUCCAUAAGAGAAGGUCCAACUUUUAGCAAAAGUUUGGAAAAGUUAGGCACCCUCAAAGGUUUUCACCUGGAGUUGCUUCACGAUACGGUUCUACCCAUCAAAAUAUUUUCAGGCAUUGAGUUAUUGUUGAUCUUAGUGAUGCGUCAUGUGUGUUUUGAGAGAGGUGACAAUAGAGUCUUCUAACCGUAUGUUUGUCACUUGUGAUUUCUCUUCGAGGGUGUGGUAUCAAGUUUUAGGUGGUUUGGGUGAGUGUUGGUGUUGCCUCGAGAUUUAUUCCAAAUCUUUUUGCCAUUAUUUUAUCUCUAGGAGUUGGGUCUAAAAUCAGACUAGGUUUGACUUGGUCUAGCUUUCGGUUUUGUGGAGCAACCACAAGUCUUCUACCUUUGAUUUAUGCAACCACAAAUCUUCUAUCUGAGCCUCUUUUUAUAGUCUUGGUA
rnacentral:lncRNA from 1 species